rnacentral:rRNA from 1 species
AAUUAAGUCAGUGGUGAAAUCUUACCGCUUAACGGUGAAAUUGCCAUUGAUACUGAUUUUCUUGAGUACAGUUGAGGUAGGCGGAAUGUGUAAUGUAGCGGUGAAAUGCUUAGAUAUUACACAGAACACCGAUUGCGAAGGCAGCUUACUAAACUGUCACUGACGCUGAGGCACGAAAGCGUGGGGAGCGAACAGGAUUAGAUACCCUGGUAGUCCACGCUGUAAACGAUGAUCACUCGUUGUUGGCGAUACACUGUCAGCGACUGAGCGAAAGCAUUAAGUGAUCCACCUGGGGAGUACGACCGCAAGGUUGAAACUCAAAGGAAUUGACGGGGGCCCGCACAAGCGGAGGAACAUGUGGUUUAAUUCGAUGAUACGCGAGGAACCUUACCUGGGCUUAAAUGCAGGACGACGUUCGCCGAAAGGUGAAUUUCCUUCGGGACGGACUGCAAGGUGCUGCAUGGUUGUCGUCAGCUCGUGCCGUGAGGUGUCGGGUUAAGUCCCAUAACGAGCGCAACCCUUAUCGUUAGUUGCCAGCGGGUAAUGCCGGGGACUCUAACGAAACUGCCGGUGUAAACCGUGAGGAAGGUGGGGAUGACGUCAAAUCAGCACGGCCCUUAUGUCCAGGGCUACACACGUGUUACAAUGGCCGGUACAAAGGGCAGCUACCUGGUGACAGGAUGCUAAUCUCUAAAAC